UGCGCAUCAACUUCUACCCCUACCUUCUCCCGGUACUGGCCGGGGUUACGAACAACCUUAGAGAAUAUCGGCUUACCAUCCCAUUGUGACUUUGGGGGAAUGCUGACAGGGAAGG
rfam:Aedes aegypti strain Liverpool supercont1.38 genomic scaffold, whole genome shotgun sequence.